AUGCAUCCUCCUCCUCCGCCGCGUCAUGGGCGCUCACCACGGAAGCACAAGUCUGCCCUACAUGAUGCCUGGCAGGCUAACCUAGCAGGAUGCAUGUGCAACAGACUGAAACAAGCAGCCUACACUGUCCUCAAAUCCCCUGUUUCUUCUUUCACAGCUCUGCUCUCCAACAGCUUGCACGGCUCCAUCACCGCCGAGAUCAUCAACUGCAACAAGCCGACAGCAAUUUAUGCGUGCCACCAGUAUGCCAUCUACUUCUUUUUAUGCUACUUCAUUGGGCUUUUAUCUGAGCCAACUCUACCUGCUGAGAUUAUUAUUGGUGUGGGCAACCACCAGUACGUGUAUGAGCAGCUUAAGCCUGCCCCCAGCGCCGGAGACGCUGCCGGCGCACCGACGGCGGAGCCCAGCCGGCACGGCUUCUGGGCAUGGAAGGAGAGGUUCGUCAUCACCUACAACCCUCCCGACUUCGGAGACGACGAGGUCGCGGCCGUGGACGCCGACGAGUGCAGCAGGUGCGGCUUUCUCUGUGUGGGGUCUCUGGCCGGGUUCCUCGUCUUUCUCGGCUCCCUGCUUCUCCUGCUCUUCUUCCAUCAGCCGUCCCAAUCCGCCAUUGGAUCGGUGGUCUACGUGGCCACGCGCGUCCUCGCCAUGGCGGGCAUGCUUGUCGGGUUUUGCUCGGCCGGCCUCUUUCUUGACCUUUGCGACAGGAUGGAUAAGGGUGAUAAACAUGCAGAGCGCCGCCCGCCCCAGCCCAUACUGGCGGCCGCCGCUCCGGCUCCGUCGGCCACCCAAGCUCUGCGCUUCCCCGCCACCCCUGCCGCUGCCCUGCAGUGGGGCUUCCCUGCUGCUGCCACCGUCGUUGCUCCGUCCCCAGAUCUAGAUCGGGAGCUGCAGACCCCACCCCCUCCGCCGCCGGGGCGGCCGGUCAGGCCUGCUGACGACGUGGAUUUCGUCCCCGAGACGCCGCCCGAGCUCCUGCGCGCCGCGGCUUCCGCUUCUGGCGGCGCGGUCCCAUUCAAUGCGGGCGAUGGCGUGCCGUGCGGGGGCGGCAUUAACUCUGGCCUGCCCGCGGGCGGGUGGUUGGCCUGCUUCAAGAGGGUGGAGGGCGAGGCGCAUUCAACGCGCGCGCCUGCUCCGCAGUCCGACGAGGGGCUCGAGGGAGGAUGGGUCACCGUCGGGUCAAAUCGGCCGCGCCGAGCUCGCCAACCAUGGUGUUACCGCCCUCGCCCUGCUCCAAGCGUGGCGAACUCGAGGGCGCUGCUCUCGCUUCCAGAAUCGCUGUUCACGACGCCCAGGCGUACGCCCCCCCUGAUGCCCGGGGCUGCUAUGGUGGAGAGCUCAAUUCCAACGGGAUUGGAGGCUCUGUUUCAGCCAAGGCAGCAGCCUCUGCUUCCCUCGCCGGCUUCCUCCCCAGUCAAGGCCCCAACGCGCAGGCGCAAGACCCUGGCUGGCAUGCACAUCACCACCAAUGGUGGGUUCUCGCUGAGGCGCAACAGUGCGCGGAUCAUGGCUCGCGGCGCUGGCUUUGCCACUGCCAUGGCCAAGGAAGCGCAGGGGCUGCUCUGCCGCUCGAUUGGCAUUGUACAAGACGGGGAAGAUAUCACAGACAAGACGCUGAAGGCAUUCGAAGACCAGUUCAAGGAGCAACUCCCAGAGGCGGUCAUGGCAGCCUUGCGAGGCUUGUUCAAAGUUGAUGAUGUUGUUGCUGGAGAGGUGGAGGAGGCCCUAAUCAACCACGGGGGUGAGGCUGCGAUUGACCAUGAGGCCACGGCAACGGCGCCGUCUGCCUAG
rnacentral:rRNA from 1 species